rnacentral:lncRNA from 1 species
ACGGACCGAACACGAUCUGCGCUCCCUCCAAUCCUUCCACGCGUAACAACCUUGCCGAUCCGUGGGGGAUUCAAUCCCCAGAAACUCGGAUUUGUUGGCCACGACUAGUCUUUAGUGCAUAUACGUACCGCCCCACACUCCCUCUGUAACCCCUAGUGCUCCGCUGCCGCCUCCUGUAAUUCAUUGGGGCCAACAGGAUAGAUCGCCGCCGCCAGGAACAAAGGAAGUUAGCGCCUGCUGUGAGCUCGCGAUUGGGAUGAGAGAGAUGAGUUGCCGCGGGGAGCUAGGGAGCUCGGCCAGUGUUCGCGCUGGGCAUCUAAGGGGUCCUCGCGUGUCCGUCGACGCGAGGGCUGGGUUUCCUCGCCGCUGGGUGGCAAAGAUGUCCGCCCGCCGUCGUGGACCUGCGUGUCUGAUGACAUUGAAGCAUCGGCAACCAUCCUGGGAUGUUCCCUGGGACACAAGGACGGGGUACGCUGUAGCCAGACCAACUUUGGGGCCGGUGCCUAACCAAUUUCUCGUCGGCGUGGGAACAUCACCGCGGAUCUGCAGAGCACGUGGACCGAUGUCUCCUCACCAUCAUUCUCGGUAAGACUUGUUGCCACUGAUUCGCCGUGUUCAUAGCUUCGUGUAGCUCCAUUUAAUUUGAUGGUGGUGCUCGGGGGAGACCGAUUGGGUCACGGUCGAUCUCCUCCACCGCGCGGUCAUGGCGGAGGCGCCCCUGCUUGGUUGGCGGGGGAAGAUGAACGGCGACCGUUGAUCUGGCCUGGGUGGCCACGAUUAAAUGGUUCGUGUACCGAUUCGCUGGGUGAACCUGGGCCGUUGAUCAAAGAAUGGGCGGGCAAGAUUUAAUGUUAGGGAAUUAAGAUCUGGCCGUCGAUCUGGAAUCAAACGACCAGCGUGGUGUACCGGUUCAUUGGACGGAUGGGUUUAAUCGGGACCGUUGGAUUUAAUCCGAUGGCUGGAAAUACGUGAUACCCCUUCGCGUGGUAUAUUAGCUAAAGAGACCCUUACUUUUUCAGUAACUAACCCGCGGUCCAGUCCUGAGUUAACCUGAGUCUGGGGUAUCUUACACCGAGGCCCCUGACUUUUUCUGUAAUAGUGCGCCCAGUCCAGGAAUCAAUAAAAUCAGAGAAAUUCUUUCUAAAUUCAUUUUUAAUACAAAAAAAUAAUGGUAGAAACUUGUAUAAAUCAUAGAAGAUGCAUACUAAAUCCUUUUUAACCCAUUCCAGUUCCUAUAAUUUUGUUUUAAUAUUAUCUAUCAACUAGUAACACUAUUUAGCCUUGAAACUUGAAUUAAAAUUGUUCAUUUGAAUUAAUCUAAUCUAAGUACCUAAUAACUUCGGAAAUUCAUAAUUUCUUCGUUUUAACUCCGAUUUGAUCCGUUCAAGUUGCGUUAGUCUCGUAGCAACGCGUAGAUCAUUAUUAUGCAGUAUAUUCUUAUGUAUGGUGUGAUGUUAAUUUUAUCUAUACCAUGUUUGUUUGUAUUGCUACGACUAGCGCGAGGACACGUAUCAUCUGAAAAGCAAGUUGGUACCUGGAAUCUCAAGUGCCAGGCAAGUUGUGCCCUUGAUCACUUACUUUCCCAGCCAUGUUCUUAUUAAUUUUAAUGAUCUGCAUAGGAUAAUUUUGAUGGGAGCCUUUAUGUUACCCCAGUUUUGAUUACCUCUAUACCUUGUUCACCCCUGAAAUAUUUUUGGGUAGUACUUGCUAUUGCUUUAUGUGGAUUGGGUAUGGAGAUACACUAUUCAUGAUUAUUCUGUUAUUAACUUGUUAUUAUUAUUGUUCAUGUUAAGAUCAUUAAAUUAAUGGGAACAUGGAGCGACCACCCGGGAAAACAGUGCUACCACAAGGGUAUAAUGGGACGCCCUUGGCUGACUAAUUAGGAAAGCUAGUGGAAGACUACCUUACCCGAAAGGGGCAAGGGCAGUAGGGGAGAGGUCAGUGCGGGGAGGUCCCUGGUUGAUUUUGCUGCGAUGGCUGUCAGCCAGGAACCCUGUACUGGAUCUUCCUAUAAACUGUAGCGGGUUUUCGGAAGCUAGUGGAACUUUGUAAAGGCCUCGUAGUGGAUCCCUAGCCAUUCACCUCGGUAGUGUCUAAGGGCCUUGCAAACCCAGGCGACAUGGGAUACACGACUUGUGGGUAAAGAUGCGCAACCUCUGCAGAGUGUAAAACUAGUAUACUAGCCGUGCUCACGGUCAAGAGCGGCUCGGACCCUCACAUGAUUAAUUAUGGAACUUAAAUUCAAUUUGACAUUUGCAUCGCAUUUGGGAUUAUUUUACUAUUAUUGUUCUUUAUUAUUAUUAAGGUUUGGUAUUUACUUACACUUAGUAAUUGCUAAUAAAAUUUUGACCAACUUAUAAAAGCAAUGCUCAGCCUCAGCCUUUAUUCCAUUGAUCAGCCUUACACUUCAUGAACUCCCACCUUUAGUGAGUUCAUGCCACAUUAUUCCCCACAACUUGUUGAGCUAUGAACGUAUGUGAGCUCACUCUUGCUGUCUCACACCCCCCCCCCCCACACAGGAGAAGAACAGGUGGUCGAAGAGGAGUCGCCUAACACUGAGGAGUUCGAUCUGAUCUAGGUGGCGUGUCUCGGUCGACAUUGGCGCCGACGAUCCUUAGUUCGCUUUAUCUUUAUUAUUUUAUUUUGUAAUAAGUCUUCC